UGGGGUUUGUGAGCACUAAAACUGGAUUUUAAGGGAUCAGUGAAACCUUAGAAUCACGGUUUGCUGUAUCUGGAAGGAACCAUGACCACUUGGUACAGACCCUUCAAGCGGUAGAUGAAGAGGCCAAAGCACGAAGGGAUUUGAUGGCUUGUGAAGGCAACGUGCUCUUCAGAGUCGGGCAGACGUGCAGCUGAAGCUUGGUCUGGCCACUGAUCUGCUGCCCGGCCUUGGGUAAACUCCUGGAGCCCCUAUUUCCUUAUUGAUUACAUGGAGAUACCAAUCCAGACUGCACAGUAUUGUGAGAGGUAGUAAAACUGUUUCCCUCUGGUCGAGGUCAAACAGACAACUGGGGGGCAGAGCUAAUGCCAGAACCUUAGUAUCCUGGCUCCCAGGUCUUUAUCCUUUCCAUUAUUCUGCAGGAGGUCUUCAGGCUACUGUUAAAUAAAAAGUAAAGCUUCUACUUCGUUCCACCCAAAAUUCUAGUUCAGUGUUUCCCAGACAGAGCACCUCCAGCGGGUCUGAGGCUCAGUUCUAUGUGGAGACUCAUGUUUAUACGAUGACAGCAUCUAUAUUUUUUCUGGAUGAACUAAUAAUCGACUGGCCAUUGUAUUUAGGAAAAACCAGACAUCACCUCAUGGACGUCUCAUUGAAGGGGACCGUCAGUUAUUCCAUUCAUUCUGGCAAAUUUUCUUUUUAGCUUUGGUUGCAGCAGGAAGAGAGAGACGUCUGGGGGGCUUUUUGCCUGUUGGAAGGGCAUCACUCGUCCACAGCUGGAGCCCCUGGGAUGACCCAUCCCAAGGUCCCAGCCUAAGUCUGAGGUUCCAGGGCUGGUCGCAGGCCGUCCUUGCAGCCCUCGCCAGAGCGUUGUCUGCACCUCCGACACUAGGUGGCGCCAUAGGAACAUCCUCGCGGCCCGAGGCGCGGUCGCAGCCGGGGAGCACUCGCCACGGUGCUGUGGAAUUCUCUGGUUUUUCACGCAAGGUCAGGCGUCCUGCUGGCGCCCUCUCGCCACCCUGCCCUCCCGUCAGAAGCCCGGCUCCUCGCCGGGGAAGGCCGGAUGCUGGCCCGCCGGGACCUGGGACUUGUGCCACAUGGAGUGUCGGGAGUCUCCAUUGCCGCGAGUUCUACACCACAGGGCCAGGCUGUUUGCUCCCCAUCGGUCGCUGCCCCCAGCACCCUGUUGUUAUUAAGGACUCAUUUGCUUGGAGCGGCAUCAUUACAAGGGUGUGGGCACCAGAUACUGCUACACCAUCUCAUCGGCAUGGACCUAUAUGUGGCAGCAAGUCCAUCUCAUCGCUUUUGGUGAAAGUCAGUCCAGUUUGUAAAGAUUCUCAUUGCCUUGGAAAGUGUUCCAGGAAUGGACUUUCUGCAGUAUGAUGACCUGCAAAAGCAGCCCUUCCAUUUACAUUUCAAACUCCAAGUCAGCCGUGUCAAAGUUUGAACCAGAACUGUGGAGGAUAAUGGGUCAGAUGCAAUUAGCAGCCCAGAGAACCACACGUUGCAGUCUGAUUUAUUUUUUUGCCCAUCAGAUUCCAAGAAUCCUAGUGCUUAAAAGCAACUAAACAAUCGCUCUAUUGUACUGAAAUAAAGCCCGGUUAAUUCAGAAAUCAAUUGCACCACCAGGUGGGGCACACUCUGGCCCCAAACAGAUGGGGUUGAAAACUCCCCUCAAAAUGCAGUCUUGUUAAAUUAAAAACUUGAUCCAGGAGUGGAACAAAUAGGGAGCCAUGAAUGGAAUGGAGUCAGGUCCACUCAGGCGGAUUCUUUCUUCUCCCACUCCUUUUCCUUUAAAAAAGAAAAAUUCCCCAUUUCACUUUCAUCAGUGUUAGCAUCUAUGCAGAAACGCAGCCAUCCACCCUUUGCAGUUGAAUGUGUUACUUUAAUUAGUCUGAAAAUUAAAGGGCAACUCCGGGCCAAUGUGAAUGAUUAUGAAAAUACAUGUGCAUCCCAUGCAAUCUUCUCAUUUAAUUAAUAGUCUUGUAAACUAUAUGGCUCACUUUAAGUCAGUCAAGAGGUAUAACAACUCCAUUUUAAAUAUCCACUUAAUACUUAACAGGAUGUGAGGAACACACUAUAGCAUACGGUCCCUUCUCAAGUUUCACUGUCUGAAAUUUUUCAAAGCUGACCCAAGUCAACCUGAAAAAUGUUUAACACCCUGGGCUUGAACACAAGAAACUCUGUGAUGAACAGACAUUCAAUUACAUUUUUUAAAAGUGAGAAGCAUUUUUGUAAAAUAGCGACUCUGGAAACUAAUUGGCAGCCGCAAAACUUGUGAGCAAAGGCCAAAUCUUGUGGGGAACUUUUACUACAGUAACACGACUCAAAGAAAAUGUGAAUAAAAGGCAUCUUUGUUUCCCAGUCAAAUUAGCUGAUUAAGAAAUAAAACAUCUUAACAUGUUUUUAAA
rnacentral:lncRNA from 1 species